AACGAACGCUGGCGGCAGGCUUAACACAUGCAAGUCGAACGCCCCGCAAGGGGAGUGGCAGACGGGUGAGUAACGCGUGGGAACAUACCCUUUCCUGCGGAAUAGCUCUGGGAAACUGGAAUUAAUACCGCAUACGCCCUACGGGGGAAAGAUUUAUCGGGGAAGGAUUGGCCCGCGUUGGAUUAGCUAGUUGGUGGGGUAAAGGCCUACCAAGGCGACGAUCCAUAGCUGGUCCGAGAGGAUGAUCAGCCACAUUGGGACUGAGACACGGCCCAAACUCCUACGGGAGGCAGCAGUGGGGAAUAUUGGACAAUGGGCGCAAGCCUGAUCCAGCCAUGCCGCGUGAGUGAUGAAGGCCUUAGGGUUGUAAAGCUCUUUCACCGAUGAAGAUAAUGACGGUAGUCGGAGAAGAAGCCCCGGCUAACUUCGUGCCAGCAGCCGCCGUAAUAC
rnacentral:rRNA from 1 species